CUCUAGGACCCAAGAAUGGAAAGAAGCCAAAGUUUUUUUUUUUUUACAAGUUCACAUGCCUCCCAGUGGCUAAUCUAAUUUAGAUAGCUUCUAACCAAACAAAGGAAAAACUUUUCAAAUAAUUCAUGCUUCCUGUAAAAAUUCAUAGUAAGGGUUAAAAAUAUUAUGAUGAAAAUUUGUAUUUCAUCUGCUCUCCCUACUUGCCUGUUUUAAUCAGUUAUUCAGAAAUGAGUAACUAGAUCCUCAUGUGCAGUGAACUCAGAGAAUGCUAAUGGGGUAUCUGCAUCUUGUAAUCGCACAGAGCACUUAUGCCAGAAUAGGGAAAGCCUUUAUUCCGUAACUCUCGGACACAAGAGGCUUUCUGAAGAGUUACUUUAAAUUACAAUUCUCGUUAUAAUGUUAGAUGGUCUGCUGGAUCUCUGAGUUAGAGACUGCUUUAGCUUAGUUACUAGAGCCAGAUGUAACAUUGACCUUAAAUGGUAAAAGCUCCCAAGAGUGAGAGAGAGGCUGGCCCGAGGGAAAAAGAGGAAUAACUCAGUUUUAGAUGGGUAAUGAUAGCAUAAUUUCUAAUCUACGAUUCCUUGGAUCUGAAGACCAAGAGCCAUUUAGCAUCUAGUCCAUAGAUGUAAAAGUCAAGGAAGAAAUAUCAAAAGACAUUUUCCAAGGACUAUUGAAUUAUCCACCUUUUGCCAGCAUUCUGCUGAACAAGAUGGCAUUUAGUGGCAUUGGGAUAUUAAUGAGGAAGGGAGAUGCAAAGCAUGGGUAGCUACCUUUUCAGAUGACACCACUCAAACAUCUAGAUCACAGGAGGGUCGUGUUUACAGCGCUCCAUCAAGAAGCUCAUCACCACUUAAUUUUCCCUUUCUCACCAGCUGUUCUGGAUGCUACCUUGAUCAUGACCAUGCCAGGCUUCACUCUCCAUUGAUAGAAGCUUUGGAUUUAGAAUACAUUUGGACUCGAGAAAGAUGCCGACAGACAGUUCAUAACACGUUCAUCUGGGGUCAGAGACAAGGAUCAGAAGACAAUGUUUUAAAUAAGAAAAGGCAUGCCUAUAAAACAGAAAAUGGAAAUAAUCAUACAAGAGCAUUUGAGGUCACCUGUCAAACUAGCAGCGGAGAUGGAGUAAAGCACCUUUAUUCUAAGCCCUUGCUAACACAGUAUUCAGCUCUGACUCAGACAGAGAGGGAGCUCCUAGAUCACCAUUUCCUGGAGAUUGUAUUCUAAGCUACCCAGCACUAGAAGAAAGAUUUCUGUAUCCACUGAUCUAUAUCUGACAACAAAAUUGAACCCUGAGGGGAUCCAUUUUUACCUAUUUUAAGCAUGAAUUGACAACAACAGACUAGAACUAAACCAAACGUAUUUAUCCUCUGAAUGUGGGAAUAAGUAGAAUUUGGUGAAUAGGGUGGUUUUCUUGUUUUGUUUGUUAAAUCUUUUUUGUACUCUGUGAAGGGCUCAUCCAAAUGACAAACAAGAUUCUUUGGGUAAAUCUGAUAUCUUUUAUUAGACCAACUCAAAUAGAUGGAAAAAAUUCUUCUUUGCCCAGGGGUAUAGGUUGUAGCCAUGCUAUUUGAGUUGGUCUAAUAAAAGAUAUCAGAUUUACCCA
rnacentral:lncRNA from 1 species